CCAAAGAGAGAGGGCGCAGACAAGGCCUGUUUAUUUCACUCGUGUGCGCCCUCAGGAGAGGCCCAGGGAUGUUGGCACAGGUGCAUUGUGGGCCCCGAAAUAAUCAAAUUGCAGAAGGAGAGAGAGGGGGAGAGAGCGGGAAGGGUAAUUGAAUAUCGGAGCGGAAGCUAUUCUCAAGUCACCCAUUUCAUGGUUCUUUCUCCUGUUUAUGUUUUCUAAGAGAUCUCCAAAAUAAAAUAGUUCUAUUAUUUUAUGACUCAUAGAUAUACGUUAUAGUGAUAACAUAUUACAGCUACGGCAACGAUGCUUAUGGAAUGGCCGCUCCGUGCCGCGCCGUAGAACUCUGCAAGGUGAAUCUCUCUCUCUCUCUCGCCUCACAGCUCGGGAAGCCUCGGCUCUGAGAGGCCAGACUCCAGCCACGCCAUCCAGACCACGGGGCCACGGGGCCACGGGGCCAGCUGAGCCCGCAGUCACUCUCCUCCUCUGCUCCUCCGCCUCUAAAAGGUCCUUUUCAGACGCUCAGGCACUCGCAGGCGCCCCUCUUUCAUCAUGGUUAGGCGCCACAUGCUUUUCAUCUCCAAGUCUGGCUACUGCAGAUGCAGAAUGAAAAACGAGCCAAUAACACAGCAAACCCGGGCAACUCGGCACGAAAGGCAAUAACCGUGGUGAGGGGCCAGGCGGCGAUUCCAGCCAGACAGAUGAGCGGGCGUCACGGGCUCCAGAUGCACAGAAGACCGGGUUUCCA
rnacentral:lncRNA from 1 species